UACGUAGGGGGCAAGCGUUGUCCGGAUUUAUUGGGCGUAAAGAGCGUGUAGGCGGCUUUGCAAGUCCGUUGUGAAAACUCGAGGCUCAACCUCGAGACGCCGGUGGAAACUGCAAAGCUAGAGUCCGGAAGAGGAGAGUGGAAUUCCUGGUGUAGCGGUGAAAUGCGCAGAUAUCAGGAAGAACACCCGUAGCGAAGGCGGCACUCUGGGCCGAUACUGACACUGAGGAGCGAAAGCGUGGGGAGCGAACAGG
rnacentral:rRNA from 1 species